AUGCCCUCUCGGACGCCUCUUUCCAAGAUUGAAUGGCAAAGCCUGUUGCCUCUUCCACCAGAAAAAUCCGAGAAGGACGCGACUAUAGAGAACAAUGAAGAACUGGAAAAGAUUCGGAUGCCUGCGGGCAAAGAAUACGAUCUACAGCCGGGUUCGCAUCUCGGUGUCUACAAAACAGUUCGUGGUCUACCAAUUGACGAGGAUUCCAAAAGUAUGGGUAUUGGUACAAAAAUAUUAUCAAAAAUUGAAAAGAACAAAACAUCUGAUGGCCUUACGAUACCGCUCACCCCGACUACACAAAAACAAUCAUCAAGUUGGUGUUCUUUUGAAAGUAUCAAAACAUUUUUUCGGACGGUGAUCCGUGAUUGGAUCUUUCUGGCACUACUUGGAUUCAUCAUGGCAUCUCUAUCAUUUGGAAUGGAUUAUGCUAUUCUGAACUUACAGAAUGGUCAGAUGCGGUUAUUCGAUUUGGUCAAGGAGUAUCACUUCACUUUGGCAUAUCUCGUUUGGGUUGGAUAUGUCGUUGGACUCAUUCUCCUCUCUGCAGUAUGUGCACAUUAUAUUGCUCCACAGGCGAUUGGAUCAGGAAUUCCAGAAAUGAAAACUAUUUUACGAGGAGUUAUUCUCAAAGAAUAUCUUUCAGUACGAACACUUCUUUCCAAAAUGAUUGGACUUACAUUAUCACUUGGAAGUGGAUUACCAAUGGGAAAAGAAGGACCGUUCGUUCAUGUUGCAUCCGUAGUAGCUUCUCAACUAACUCGUUUGGUUCACGGAUCAUCUGGUGGAAUAUUUGAAAAUGAGUCUAGAAGUGGUGAAAUGCUUGCAGCUGGAUGUGCUGUUGGAGUUGCUUGUACAUUUUCUGCUCCGAUAGGAGGCGUGUUGUUCUCAAUUGAAGUCACAUCUGUCUACUUUGCUGUCCGAAACUACUGGCGUGGUUUCUUUGCUGCCACGUGUUCGGCUACUCUUUUCCGAAUUCUAAGAAUGUUCUCUGUAUCUGCAGCAGUUACCGUCGAGGCCCAUUAUCAAACAAACUUUCCGCCACAAAAUGUGUUUCUCCCACAAGAGCUUCCUAUUUUUGCACUUAUCGGAUUGGUUUGUGGUCUUGCUGGUUCAAUAUUUGUAUAUCUUCAUCGACGGACUGUUCUUUUUUUGAGAAGAAAUUGGCUUGCCAAAAUGAUAUUUCAGAAAUACUGGCUCAUCUAUCCCAUCUUCAUCGCCACUUUCAUAUCUUCUUUGUCGUUUCCAUUGGGACUCGGGAAAUUUAUGGGUGGAGAGGAAAGAUUCAGUCACACAAUGAAGGAAUUUUUCGUAGAUUGUGCAUGGACUGCUCCACCAAAUGAUUCAUAUGCUUGUCCAAUGCCUACAUCAAAUGCAACAAGUUCGGAUAGUUUUGACAUUCGUCACUGGAAAGGAGAUAACUAUGAUUAUUCUCCAUUUGUCACUUUAUCUUCAUUUCAAGUAGUAUACUUUUUCCUCGCAAUUCUGGCUUCUACUCUGCCUGUUCCGUCCGGUAUUUUCAUGCCAGUUUUUGUUCUUGGUGCUGCUUUUGGAAGGCUUGUUGGUGAAGGUGUAUUCUCAUUAGAUCCAUAUGGUCAUAUCAGUGGAGAUAUACAAUUCUUCGUUCGUCCAGGUGUUUAUGCAGUUGUCGGUGCUGCAGCAUUUUGUGGAGCUGUCACACAUACAGUAUCUGUUGCUGUUAUUGUUUUUGAGCUUACUGGACAGCUAUGUCAUCUUCUACCCGUGAUGAUCGCUGUUCUUAUUGCCAAUGCUGUGGCUUCGUACCUUCAACCAUCAAUCUACGACAGCAUAAUUCGUAUCAAAAAUCUACCGUAUCUCCCUGAUAUUCCCCAUACAACGUCCCUUUAUCAUCAAAUGCUCAUUGAGCAGUUUAUGAUUUCUCCUCUUGUCUAUAUUGCAAAAGAUUCAACAGUUGGUGACAUCAAAAGAGCACUGGAAACAAAAACCCGGAUCAGAGCUUUUCCUUUGGUUGAAAAUAUGGAAUCACUAGCUCUUGUCGGUUCGGUCAGUAGAAGUCAGCUGCAACGAUACGUCGAUUCUCAAAUUGGAACAAAAGCCCGAUUUGCAGAAGCAACUCGUAGAAUCAAACAACGUUUGGAAGAUGAAGAAAGCGAACGAAAAAGAAGAGAAGAAAGUAAAUCAGAUGAUACAGAAGAUAGUUUGGAAACGACAGGUGCUGGAGAGAGAAGAGCUAGUCGGUAUGAAUGGGAGGAUAUGAUGCUCAAUCAAAAGCUGGAUUUGAGCCAACUUGAUAUUGAUUCUACGCCAUUCCAACUCAGUGAAUAUACGAGUUUAUUCAAGGCUCAUUCUCUAUUCUCACUUCUUGGUCUAAAUCGUGCAUACGUGACGAAAAAAGGGCAAUUGAUUGGCGUUGUCGCAUUAAAAGAGGUUUGCUUUUUAAUUUCUCGAAAAAAAUAG
rnacentral:misc_RNA from 1 species